AAAUAACAGUGUUGUCACAAAUCCAAAUGAAGAAGGAUCAUAAAAAAACACAAAGUAUACACAUGGUUCCUGAAAAUUGAAACUUGUGUACGUGGUCCCUUUAAUAUCGAAUUUGGAAGGGAUAACAUGCACGUAAUAGCGUGACUUACACACGUAUUUAACACGGAGAAGUUAGGGAUCUGAUUAAUUAGUAUAUUUAUUUAUUUAUUUUAUUAAGAUAAAAAUAAACAAGUUUCUUUUCAA
rnacentral:lncRNA from 1 species